rnacentral:misc_RNA from 1 species
UGUUGCUGUAUGCGCGCUGUGUUGCCCAAGCACGAGUCACAAUACGUUUGCCUACGCACUCGUCUCUCUCCUUCCUUUUGGUGCACGUGCGCGCACAUACCCACUAGAGUGUUCGUGCGUCAGCGAUGGGCGUCGGCUUGUCUACAGUGCGGCACGCGGGCACCGCCAUUCUCGUGCCCACAGCUAGUGCAGCAUCGGCAGCAGUAUUGCCACUCUCGUCGGAGGAGCGGGUGGCGGCACUGCCAGUAACGACGACGCGGCCUGCUGCUGCCGAUGCAGCCGCCGCCGCUCCAGCUCCGCCCACCGCUGAGCACACAUCAAACCCUCGGCAGCGCCUCACAGACACUCAAGCGGCGCAUGCAGCGGUGUCUUUGCGACAUGCAGCGCCAAAGCCUGAUCGGCGCUUCCCUCCCUACCCCGAGGAGACCUCGGCGUUGGCCACCCCCCCGCCAGCGGCAGUCUUGACCGCGGCCCCGGUCGUGGCGGAGGCGGCCGUCAAGAGGCACCGCAAGGAGAGCGGCGCCACGAAGCCCCUGCACCCGGCGCAGGCGUCGUUGCUCACGCGGGCGGAGGAGGGACAGCGCGAUGCAACUGGUGAUGCUAUCAUCGCUGUCGAUCGCCUUCGUCGCAGGUGUUGCCCGGACGCCGGCGUCGGCGCUAACCGCAACAUGAACUGUAAUGAGGAUGCCACGCUUCUCGUAAGGUCACCGGACGAGGGGCGACGGAGCGGCACGUCCCUGCAGACCGAGGGUGGUCUCUACGGAGAGAAGGGGCAGAGGCAGUUCGCUGCGUCUGCUAAAUCGUCUCCAUCGCCGGCCUCACCGGAGGCGGAGGAGGUGGCGACAACGGCGUGCGCAUUGGUGAAAGCCGCGGCUCACGCAGAUGCUCCGGGUGGCCCUGCUGCUCCUCUGCUGAGCAGCACCUUCACGGCCUACCGCCCCGUGGCUCGAUCUGCCUCUCCUGGGCCGGCGCUUGGGCAGUACGAAGGGCUUCCGCUCACGUCGGUGCAGCAGGUGCUGGAGUCCAAGCACAAGGUGUACCGUAUCUGCCUCACCGGUGGUCCGUGCGCUGGCAAGUCCACCAUGCUCUCGGCCAUCCAGGCAAAGAUCCCGCAGCGCACCGGCUUCCGCGUCAUGUGCGUGCCGGAGGCCGCAACGCUGCUCGUCACCGGGGGGAUGCAGUGGGAUGGCGACCUCACCGUGCCGCAGCAGCUCGGGCUCCUUCGCACGCAGCUUGCCUUGGAGGACCAGUUCUACGCACUCGCCGUGGCGUCCAAUGUACCGACCGUCAUCGUUUCUGACCGUGGCACGAUGGACGGCCGCGCGUUCUGCACUGAUGAGCAGUUCCAGGAGAUCCUGCGCGGCGUCGGUAGCACCAUCGACGUUCUGCGCGACCGCUACGACGCCGUCAUUCACAUGGUCACCGCCGCGGAUGGAGCGGAGGAGUUCUACAACCUGGACAACCCGGCACGGUACGAGGACCUCGACGGCGCCCGCGCCUCCGAUCUUCGCCUGCAGAGGAUGUACGUUGGCCACCCGAUGUUCCGCCUGCUCGACAAUUCGACCACCUUCGAGGACAAAAUUGAGCGAGGGCUCCAGGUGGUCAGCCAGGUGGUGCACAAGGAGCAGUGCGCGCCGGCGUUGCCCACUUACUACUUAGUGCGCCGCUGCCCAGUUGAGCUUCCGGUGGCGAGCGCCACAUACACGACGCACACGACUGUACUGAGCAACAGCCAGAUCAGCGACAUACGACUCCUCGUGAAGCGCGAGAUGGCGGAUGGGUCGACGAUGCACUUCUUCAAGAGCGUUCGCGACGCUCCGUCGACUGUGCUGUCCUCACGUGCGCCACCCCGCGCGACCUCGCACGCCAGCAGCGGCGCCUCGUUCCGCAGCAGUGUAAACGCCCCGACGGUCAGCACAGCGUCGCCGACGCAGCAGCGCAUCGAGAGCGCCCAACGUAUCAGCAGCCGCGAGUACGCGAGCUUGUGCAAGCACCGCGACAGCACCCGCGCCGAGGUGGUGAUGAGGGCGACGCACUUCAUCUUCGAGGGUGCGAACUACGAGCUGACGACAAUGAUAGCCCCAAGCUGGGCAGCAGGACGCCAGACGCUGACAGUGGAGAGCUGCACAGUGUCGACGGCGAAGCAGGAGCAGGUGCAUCCGCACGGCUCGCGUCAGGCUGCUCCACCGGCGGCGGCGCUGCGCCUCCCACCGUUUUUAGAGGUGGAUCGCGAGGUACCGGUGGAGAGCCUGACGACCACCUUUCUCAUUUCGCACAAAGAGACGGGCCCUCUCUACACAUCGCUGGCUUUUGCGCCUGUCUUCUCCCGUGCGGUGUUGACCGCCCUUGGUGCGCAUGCCGACACGGAGAACAUCCUGAGCAGCACGGUGAGUACCCCUCGCGGCACGCCGGCGCUGCGCACGGAGAAGGGCACGCUUCACAUUCCCCCCUCUCUCGCAGAGACGAGGGAGGACAGUGGGUUGCCCGCAAAAGCACCCGUCUUGGGAGAGGGCAACCAGCGAGUAGAGAACGCAGAAAACUCAGUGUUCAUGGCCGCACCACCGCCACUGCCGCUGCCUGCACGUCGUGGGCUUGCUCCGCUCGACGUCAAUGCACUCGCUAUCUCCGCACCAGCGAUGAAAUCCGCCACGUCCAAGGCAGAGGGCACGCAUCACGUGGAGCUGGCGUCUUCACCGCUGCACCUCGAUGAAUCAACGAGCGUUCGCAAGCAACACAACGUUGACACCCCGUCGAGCUUCUCCCUAGCCGGAGAGGAGGGUGGCACUGCCAAAGUGACCACGGCAGCACCGGCCGGGGAGCGUCUGCAGCCGGAGAGGCUGAUGGCGCGAGACCCCGAGUCCGUCUUGCCUCCCAUUGGGACGAAAAAGUCGACUCCUGUGGCCUGCCUGCGCAGCUGAGCGAGGCGAGGAGGCCGCCGCAGAGCCGUGGGCAAAAGGCAAGUAGCGGUGCUGCUCCCUUCCCGUUCCGUGGAGGGACGAGGCCCAGCACACACUCGCGCAGCAAGUAGAUCAUGCGACGGUGGAGGCAACACCCAUUUUGAGAACGUAAAGGGGUGGACGACGCAAAAGGGAGGAGGCAGAGGCGUCUCGUGCGGCGCCGUCUCUGCCUCCUCUGCCUCCCUCUGCCUUGCUGACGCGUCUUUUGGAAUCGAUCUGCAUCGGUUUGUUCGCUCUGUAUUUCUUGUAGACUGUUUUCUCUUCACCUUAGAUGCACACACACACACACACAUAUAUAUAUAUAUAUAUACAUAUUUGACGCUGAAGGUCUGGCGUGUGUGCCACCAGUGAUUAUCGUGUGUUGUUUUCUCGUCUUACCCCUCCCCGUUUCGUGUUCUUGUCUUCCCGUUGAACCUUCAUGCCCUCUCUCGCACCGCCCCACCGCCCCACCUGCACGUACAUGGCACCAGCUGUUUUGCAUUCUACUACUCUCUCUGUGUAUGUGUUUUUCUAUCUCACUCGCCUCCUCGCCUGUCUGAUCCCGUCUUCCUCAGUGAUAUGUACCACAUAAACACACAAACACACACACACCACACAGAACGGCAUCGACGAGGUGGAAGAGGGAGAACGUGAGGAGACUGUCGGUAAAGAAUGUGCCUAGGGAGAUGCAGAAGUACACGUGUGUGCGGGCGAGGCGUGCCGCGAAUAGCUCGCCCGCAUACUUCGAUUGCUUCUCCUCUCACUCUUUCUCUCGCUCUUCUUCACUCCCGCCCUUCCCCGCCUCGUUUUUUUUUUGACUUGGCUUGGCUUUUAUGUGUGUGUGUGACCGCCGUGAACACAGCAGGGUUGUGUCUCCUCCUCUC